rnacentral:rRNA from 1 species
UACGGGGGGGGCAAGCGUUGUUCGGAAUUACUGGGCGUAAAGGGCGCGUAGGUGGUUCUGUAUGUCUACCGUGAAAGCAUACAGCUCAACUGUAUUUUGUCGGUAGAAACUGCAGGACUUGAGGCUGGGAGGGGCUGGUGGAAUUCCCUGUGUAGCGGUGAAAUGCGUAGAGAUGGGGGAGAACACUCGUGGCGAAGGCGGCCAGCUAGACCAGUUCUGACACUGAGGCGCGACAGCGUGGGGAGCAAACAGG